GUGAAAACUCUUGAUGAAGACAUGGAGCUCGGUGCAACAUUACCAUUUUAUUUGGAGGGAUGGUUAACACGUAGACAUUAGCAACGUCUGUUGGUGUUCCAAGCAUAUUUUCUAGAGUUUUAUCUAUUAAUGAAUCAAAACGAACAUAUUAGUGUUUGAAUGGGAGCACAGGAUAAACACAGAUCUCCUGUCCUGUUUUUAUUUUCAUAUAUUUUAAUCAUUCACACUUUUCUGUAUGAUAAACCUAAAAAGCAGGAGGACUGCAUUGGAUACUAAUUUUUUUGUCUUCUUGUGAUAAAAGGCAGGCGUCCUGCAUGUUCUUCUUCCCGCAUAGAAAUAGGAGCUGUACAUGCAAUGCUUCUUUUAACUAACCAAUAGGUAUAUUUCUAAUUUAAAUUAAAUUUAAAAUAUUUGUUUAUAUCUACUAUAAAUGACAGAUAUCAACACACACCAUUGCACUCAUUCAUUCUUGAGAAUGAGAAUAGACAUCAACGAAAUCAAGGCUGAGAAAUAUGGCAUAGAGCAAGAGUCAAAAGACAUUAAAAGAGACAAGCAUUAGUGUUCACUAUUAUAAUUGAGUUCGGCGAUAAAACUAUUACUAGACGUACCAGAGGGCUUGCAUUUCUGAACCAAAAGAUUUUGUUGAAGAAAUGAGACAUACAAAUACCAGCAACGAAGAUUCUGAAAGUGAUAUAAAUGACAUGGAGACAACAAAUAUGGCUGAUGGAGAUCAUAUGACAAACAUUAGAGGCAACAUUGCUGAUAUGUUAUGGGCAAAUCAUUAAAUUAUUUUACCUUUGUUUAUGUAUUUUUUAUUAUGUGUUUUGAUAUUUUUGGUGUAAUUUUUUAUUGUUUAAAUAUAUGAUCUGCACUUUUGAACUGCUUUUGCCAUUCAUAACUUUGAAACAUAACUUGUUCUGCUUGAUCUGCAUUUCUCCUGCAUGAUCCGCUUGAUCUCCACUUGUCCUGCUUGAUCUGCAUGAUCUGCUUGAUCUGCACCGCUUGAUCUGCUUUUACCAUUCGGAACCUUAAUACAACUUCCUGACAAUGGAAACCAUAAAACUGAAGGACAAACACAUGAUAUAAUAAUUGAGCGAAAAACUAAGUGGUAGUAAAAUUCUGAAUGAUACUGGAAAAUACUCAUUUAGGGAAAUUUGCACCUGGACUAACUGAAUUGUUCAACUAAAUAAACCCACAUAUGGAAUUAAAGAAUUUGCUAAGUAUUAAAUGAAAUAGACAUAAAACAAACACAGAAAACAUCAGACAACAACAAACAAAAGCAAAAUAAUUCAAAACAAACACAUCAGCGUGGGAUUAAUAUUUGUCACGGGAUGCUAAUAAAAGCCAGAACCAGAUGCAAUGAACUCUUUAUGGAAACAUAACUAAUCAUUUCAUUUAUAAGUGCAGGAGUAAAGAAGCCAAUACCCAAAAUUACACGGCAUUUGAAGACCUUGAAAAACGUAUGUUCGGUUCUGAAAGCAUUAACAUAAAGCAACGUAGUCAGUCUCUCACCUGAGAUUGCUCAGCAUUGAAAGAUGGAAUUUCCAUAAUGAGUUCAAUCAAAACAUAAUUAUUAUGCAAAAUAGAUUUGUAUAGUGUGUUUUUUUUUCCUGACUCAAUAACCAAUCCAGCCGAAUAUCAAUCAUUCUAUUGGCUAAAAGAUACGCAUACACCAAGAUUAGAACUCACCUGUCCCUAAAAGUAGCCAGAGUACCCACAGCAGAUUAAGCAAGCUCAGAGUAACCAUCAAUGCUCAAAA